rnacentral:rRNA from 1 species
GAUUCAUAAUAACUUAACGAAUCGCAUGGCCUUGCGCCGGCGAUGGUUCAUUCAAAUUUCUGCCCUAUCAACUUUCGAUUGGAAGAUAGAGGCUUACAAUGGUCUUAACGGGUAACGGGGAAUUAGGGUUCGACUCCGGAGAGGGAGCCUGAGAAACGGCUACCACAUCCAAGGAAGGCAGCAGGCGCGCAAAUUACCCAAUGCUAAUUCAGCGAGGUAGUGACAAUAAAUACUGAUACGGGGCUCUUUCGGGUCUCGUAAUUGGAAUGAGUACAAUCUAAAUCCCUUAACGAGGAACAAUUGGAGGGCAAGUCUGGUGCCAGCAGCCGCGGUAAUUCCAGCUCCAAUAGCGUAUAUUAAAGUUGUUGCCGUUAAAAAGCUCGUAGUUGAACCUUGGACCUGGCUGAUCUGUCCUCCUAAUCGAGCGCACGGAUUCGGUCGGGUCUUUCCUUCUGGGGAGCCCUAUGCCCUUCACUGGGUGUAGUGGGGAACCAGGACUUUUAC